UACGGAGGGGGCAAGCGUUGUUCGGAUUUACUGGGCGUAAAGGGUGUGUAGGCGGCUGGAUAAGUCUGGCGUGAAAUCUUCACCGCUCAACGGGAAGGGGUCGCUGGAAACUGUUCAGCUUGAGUGUGGUAGAGGCAAGCGGAAUUCCUGGUGUAGCGGUGGAAUGUGUAGAUAUCAGGAAGAACACCGGUGGCGAAGGCGGCUUGCUGGGCCAUCACUGACGCUGAAACACGAAAGCGUGGGGAGCAAACGGG
rnacentral:rRNA from 1 species